GAAAAGAUUAUUAUUAUUAUUAUUUUUCUUCGCUCAGUGAAUUGGCUUUUUGAGGGCUUUAACAUGCUCAAAAAGUUUCUAAAGUGUACAGUAAAUUAGAAAUGUGCGCAAGUUUACGUAUUCUGAAGUAUUUGGGAACGGGUGUGUCAAAACCGCUCAAUAGCGCCACCUACGGAAAAGCCCCUCAUUUCGCAUUCACCGAUCCUCAAAAAAAACAAAGACUAUUGUGUAUCUUGACUAGAUGCACAAAAAAGUCCAUCAGUGCAUUAUGAAUAACGCAACAGGAAGCCCGCCAGUUUGACUUUAGUGGCCAUUUUGGUCAUAUUCGAUAUUUUUUCUUUUAAGUACUCCUCCUACAGCUUUCAUCAAAUCAACUUACAAUUUAGACGAUCGUCAUCACAACAAAAUGGAGAUCUAAAGUUAUUGAAGGAUUAAGUUUUCGCAAAACCGUCUGACCGUGGUGUGGCCUCAAAGUUUGAUUAAACGCCAUCAAAACACGGGCUCCUGUAUCUUGGACAUAUUUUGUCCAAUCGAGUCCAAACUAUACACAUAAGACAAGAGUCGCGACCUGAAGACAUCGGUACAGAAAUCGUGACUUAAAAUCACAGCGUCCCCUGGUGGCAACAGGAAAUGUUUUUUUUUUAUACGUCUUACACUUUGAUUUACUUGUCGUAGGGCCUUCAUCAGGUCAACUUAAAAAUUACAUGAGUCUCCUCAAGACAACAUGAAGAUGUAAAGUUAUCAAAAAAAACACUUUUCACCACACCGUCUGACCGUGGCGUGCCCUUAAAAUUUGAUGAAUAACAUUAAAACACGGCCUUCUGUAUCUUGGACAUAUUUUGUCCAAUCGAGUCCAAACUAUACACAUAAGACAAGAGUCGCGAUCGGAAGACAUCUACCUAGAAAUCAUGACUUAAAAGGACAGCGCCCCCUGGGGGCAUUAGGAAAUGUCUUGUUUUGGUAGGUGUUACUCUUUGAUCUAUUUCUCCCCAGCCACUGUGCUAAACCAUGUCAAACUUUGUCACAUGGGUCUCAAGAUAUUGAUAAUGUAGGCAUAAUAUUACUGUGACUUUUCAUCAUGCGGAUUGUUAAUGGCGGGGCAUCAAAGUUCAUCAGCUCACCAUGACAAACGAAAUUCAUUUUAACGGAGUUACCAUGAACGCAUCAUUAGACCGCAUUGUUUUGGUCAACUCACACCUGGAGUUAUUUCUAUUCAGCCACUUUGCGAAACCAUUUCAAACUGUGUGAAAUGGGUCUCAAGAUAUUGAUAGUGUAGGCAUAAGAUUGCUGUGACUUUUCAUCAUGAUGAUUAACUGCUUGGCAGCUGAGGUCAUCAUCUCGACAUGAAAAACGAAACGCAAUUUAACACAGCUGCAAGUGAACGCAUCAUGACAAUCUCCUUCAGUAAGAGCUGAGUCUGUGGUGACGGUCCACUCACACAUCGAAUCAGUAGCACAGUUUGCUGUUCUGCUUGUUCAUCUGACGGACACGUAAAAGGCGACCGCUCUCUCGUUUCUGUGGAUGUCCAGCGUGAGACACAACUUGAAUCCAACCAGACUGAACACUGACUCCAGGGACAGACGAGCCUGAAGGACACAGCUGUGAUGACCAUGUUCUGUCUCUUAUGACAAAGCAGAAAUAUAAAACACUGGGUUCUUAUCUAAAGUGUAUCAAAUCAGAUCUCCACCAUGUUGCUGCUGAGGACAUCAGGUGCUGCAGUUCUUCAUCUAUGAAGAUGAAAAAACUCACUGUUAAAGAAUGUUUUGUGUUGUGUAUGAAGCACAACAGAUUUCAGAUAGAACCGUUGUACUGUGGUCUUGGUUUGUAUCCUCAUGGUUAAAUGUACAUAUUUUACGUCCCUUCUGAUAAAAGUACUGAAAGAAAUACAACAUUGUAUAAAUAGAUAAAAUGUCUUUCUACCUCAUCAGUAAUAUUCAAGGUGAUAAUCUCCCACAGAGCUAUUGAUAGAAGUCCACAUCAAGUCUCUCGACUUCUCUCAGUGUGAAAACAUAAUUAUAUCAUUAAUUUGAGAACUGUUUACAACACUGAUGUUUGGAGAUUAAAAAUCAUAUCUAAACUGUCUAAUUCACUGUAAAACUCCAUGACAUUCGCAGGCCAUCUGUACUUAAAAGACGAACCUGGAUUGAUCUGUCCAAAAAUCCAAAAGUCUCCCUACCCUCUCUAGUGCCCCUGAGCAAGGCACCUCACUCCCCAAACAUCUGCUCCCCGAGCGCCGUACAUGGUCGCUGACUGCUCUGUGUGUCCUGCACCAGAUGGUAAAAAGCAGAGAUUAAAUUUCCCUACCUGCAUGAGUGUGCCUUUGCAUGUCUGUGCAUUUGUUUGGGACGAAUAAAUGGAUCUUAAUCUUAAUCUUUUAAUCUUGAUCAGUUGUCUUCCAGUUGACCAGCAUGACGCUGCAGAUCUCCACCAUGUUGCUGCUGAGGACAUCAGGAGCUGCAUUAAUGAGGAGCAGAAGCGCACUGUUAUGAAUGUUUUGUGUUGUGUAUGAAGCACCACAUAUUUCAGAUAGAACCAAUGUACUGGGGUCUGGGUUUGUAUCCUAAUGGUUAAAUGCACAUACUUUAAAUCGCUUUUGAUAAAACGUGAGAAAGAAAUACAACAUUAUACACAUAGAUAAAAUGUCUUUCUACCUCAUCUGUAAUAUUCAAGGUGAUGAUCUCCCACAGAGCUGUUGAUAACAGUCCACAUCAAGUCUCUCCACUUCCCUCAGUGUGAAAACAUAAUUAUAUAAUUAACUGGAGAAGUGUUUACAACACUGAUGUGUGGACAUUAUAAUCUUAUCUAUACUGUCUAAUUGACUCUACAACUCCAUGACAGACUAAAUUAACAAUGUGAAAAUAGUAAUGGUGGAUAUAUCAGCCUGUAUCAGAAUAAUGGUGAAACAGUUAUUAUCACAUGCAACGUACACGUGUAGCGUAUUGAUAGUAACUUAUUAAAAAAAUAAAUAAAGUCACAACCAAAACAAGA